rnacentral:rRNA from 1 species
GAUGAACGCUGGCGGCGUGCCUAAUACAUGCAAGUCGAGCGAACAGACGAGGAGCUUGCUCCUCUGACGUUAGCGGCGGACGGGUGAGUAACACGUGGAUAACCUACCUAUAAGACUGGGAUAACUUCGGGAAACCUGAGCUAAUACCGGAUAAUAUAUUGAACCGCAUGGUUCAAUAGUGAAAGACGGUUUUGCUGUCACUUAUAGAUGGAUCCUCGCCGCAUUAGCUAGUUGGUAAGGUAACGGCUUACCAAGGCAACGAUGCGUAGCCGACCUGAGAGGGUGAUCGGCCACACUGGAACUGAGACACGGUCCAGACUCCUACGGGAGGCAGCAGUAGGGAAUCUUCCGCAAUGGGCGAAAGCCUGACGGAGCAACGCCGCGUGAGUGAUGAAGGUCUUCGGAUCGUAAAACUCUGUUAUUAGGGAAGAACAAAUGUGUAAGUAACUAUGCACGUCUUGACGGUACCUAAUCAGAAAGCCACGGCUAACUACGUG